rnacentral:rRNA from 1 species
AUUGAACGCUGGCGGCAGGCCUAACACAUGCAAGUCGAGCGGAGCGGCGGACGGGUGAGUAAUGCCUAGGAAUCUGCCUGGUAGUGGGGGAUAACGUCCGGAAACGGGCGCUAAUCCCGCAUACCAUCAGAUGAACCCAUAUGGGAUUAGCUUGUAGGUAAGGUAACGGCUUACCUAGGCCACGAUCCCUAGCUGGUCUGAGAGGAUGAUCAGCCACACUGGGACGGAGACACGGCCCAGACUCCUACGGGAGGCAGCAGUGGGGAAUAUUGCACAAUGGGCGCAAGCCUGAUGCAGCCAUGCCGCGUGUAUGAAGAAGGCCUUAGGGUUGUAAAGUACUUGCAGUCGGGAGGCGUUACCGACAGAAGAAGCAACGGCUAACUCCGUGCCAGCAGCCGCGGUAAUUC